rnacentral:lncRNA from 1 species
UCACUGAGAGCUGGUUGAUCCCUACACAUUUCUAUGAAAGAAGAAUAAUGGCCUAAAAUAUCAUCUAACCUCAAGUGUUGGAAAAACCUUAGAAGUCAUUGUUUCCAAUUUAUAUCUCAUCUGUUGAUCCCCUCCCUCAACAAUAUCUCUGACACUCACUAUCAUUGCUCAACGACUCCCAUCCACAGAAACCUUCUAUGUCAAAUAUAAGCCUUCAUUUCUACAGUUAAACAAAUCAAAUUCAUAUAUUGUCAGUGUCUGAAAACAUAUGACCCACUGUGAACCUCUACUCCAU